ACUGUUGAGGACCCAGACGACGACGGAGGAGGGUGCCUGCGGUACCAGUUGUGCAAACUCUGUGGAGCAGCCUGGAAUCCUUCCCGGGAAGCUGCGGGAGUUGAUCGAUGUGCCUGAGCUGGCCUCUCUGAUUCCACAGCUGUCCCCGUGAGCAGGCGGCUCCAUGCUUCAAAGGCCCUGGAUUCCUGGGACAUGAUGCCACCUUUCCUGAAGUCUGGGCUCCUUACCUUCUCUCUGCUCCGGGCAUACCAUUCCCAAAGGACAGUGGUACUGCAGGGAGCGUCUGCUGGGCCCCCUCCAUGUGUUCUGGACAGGCUGGGGUCCUGGGAAGGGUGCACCACCCAAGUGCGGGGGUGGCAUUCAAGCUCGACACAGAACCUGUGAGAAUGGGCCUGACUGUGCUGGCUGCAGUGUGUUCAGCCACCAUAGGCAACGGGCACGAGUCACACGACACAACAGAAAACAGUUUAAGAAAAUGCUACCCCAGAGCAGGUUUCUCUUGUCCUUGGAAACAGCCUGGCAUGAAGAGCAGUCUUUGCUUCCUCCACUUAAUCUUGCCUCAGCCGAGCCUGCAGUCAGCAUCUCUCACCGGGCCCACCUCAGCUCCAGGGGCCAUUCGAGGGACCAGCUGGAGUUUUCUGGUGUUUCCUGGAUUUAUCACUAAAAGACCUGCAUCCUGGGAAAGCACUUUCUCAGUCCCCUGAAGAGUAGAGAUGGACAUUCACCCAAAGGAAGGCUUGUUUCUCAGAGGAAGACCAAAACCUUAUUACCAGACCAAGGCAGGAUGAAAAGUGGGCUGGACAAAAACAAUUAAGCCUCAUGGCGUAGCCCUCUUAGGAGCAGAUGGUGGUGUGUCAUCUUCUAAACUCUACUGUCACUUGGGGGAACUGGCAGAGGAGGAGCCUGGUGUGUGGACCUGGUUUGCCACUUUGUCUAGGAGGCCCCAGAGCCCUAUUAAUUACUCGGGGAGGUUAUCACACGGUCCCUUCUCUGCAUUGGACAGAAAUACAUCUCCCUGUGAUGACAGAGACACAGCGGUUCUUUUUACUCUGCUCUUUCCUUGGGUCCUCCACUCCGAGUGUCCCUGAUUCCUGCGCAGUGUCCUUCCAAAGCCUGGGUUUGGAGGACAGGACCUAUGUGUCCCAUGUCGGCCACCGUCUGUUGCUAACAAAUUGAGGUUACACCAGCUCUAACCGAGCAUUCAUUUAUUGAAUAACAGGCACAGAAAAGCCUCUGGAGUUGCCAGCAUGGUAGAAACCUAGACCAGGCCUCUGAGGGCGUGUAAACAGUACCCAGGUCGUGAGACCAAUUUCUGCUGAAAUCGCUUAAUUUUGCUGGGUUCCUUGGCCGCGGCCUCACCUCCCACCUCCUGCAAACCUCUCUCCAGUGAGUGUCCAGGCGUCCAGAGGAAGGAGUUUCCAUGGGUCACUGAAAAUCUGCCACCACUCCUGCGAACUCCGUAGACCACUGUCGUUCUCCUUCGUUCAGUCGGUGAACGUGGCGUGUUCCAUACAUAUGUUGCAUCAUUAAAUGUCAUUUCUGAGCGAGGAUUAAAAUUACCAAGUGACUUAAACUUAAUGAUAUAUUAACUGCACAUCUCAUCAGAAUCCUUUCCAACUGCGAUCUCCCACUUUAUCAAAAAAUUCAUGCUUGAUCAUGCACCAGAGUAGUCAAAAGGUGGGCUUCUGGAAACUUGCAUCGGCUAAAGCCAGAUAUGAUUUCUGUCCCAUGAAACUUGUGUUAAUGUCAUCAGAGGGAAAAAGAAGCCUCACUCGAAAAUUAACUUACACUUCUACUCUGAGGAGGUGGUUUGGGAACAGAGGAGCUAGGACCUUCUUUUUGAGGCUUAAGGGAAUUUACUCACGUUUGCUUAAGUAUGGCACGGUUUUUGUUUAUUUGUUUGGUUAGCUGGUUUGGUUUCCAGGUUUGGUUUUGGUUAGCCUAACCCCGUUGCUUCAAAAUUACUGAAAAAAAACCUGAUCUUUAUAGUUUAUGAUAACAUUAUACUCUGAAUCCUAAAGCCUUCCCCAUCUCAUUUCAGAGAUGUUCCAACCAAAAUUACUCUUUCAUUUCAUGAAUCAACAAAAUAAGUCCAAUAUUACGAUGAUCACCAAUCAAAACACAUCUUGGGGACACCCUCUUGCAUCUGGAAUUGGCACAAUGCUGAUUGGUUGUAUAACUGUCCCCACCUCGUCUUGGGAAAUUCGAUGAUAUUUUACCUCUGCCACUCCUAAGAAACCAAGACAGGCGUGCCAGGCUUCUCUCUACCUGAAUGCACAGGUAGAAAGAGGGUUUGGUGAAGAGCUGGAUGACAUAUGCUAUGUUUUCUUUGCACGUCCAUGGAUAAAAAUUAUGAUGUAAAGGUACACCUCCAACAAUUGGCCAGUACAUUUCCUGUGGGCCAUGUAGGUGUUUGGUACAUUACUGGAUGCAAAGGUGGUAUGACAAAAAGUACGAGACACACUGCUUAAGAGCUGUCAUCACUCGGCGGUCUGUGGAUCACCCACCCAGCUCUGGGUUGUUUCUGGAGGUGCAGAAGAUACAUAAAUGUGGCUGCUUUCCUGAAGAAACGUGUACACUAUUUGGAGGUCUCAGCAGAACUCGACUGGAUAGUAGGUGCGGCCUCUAAAAGCCAAGGUCUUCAUCACCUGCAGAAUGGUAGCCUCAGAAUAACAUUUGAGUUGUAAAUCUCUUCUGAGGGCUAAAGCGUAUUUCAUAAAAAUGAGGAUUUAUGGAGUUUCUGGAUGGUGCAGUGGGUUAAGAAUCUGACUGCAGUGGCUCAGGUCGCUGAGGAGGCUCAGGUUCAAUCCCCAGCCCAGUGCCGUGGGUUAAAGGGUCUGGUGUGGGUUGCAGCUGCCGCUCAGAUUCAAUCUCUGGUCAGGGAACUUCCAUCUGCCAUGAGUGCAGCCAUUAAAUUAAAUUUUUUUAAAAAGAUAGAGAUUUAUAGUGAUAAAAGCUAGCAGGAGAGUCUUAUGCAAACUAAAAUUUUCAGCUCUUAUAUUCAUGGAAGAACCACGUCUGUAGGCUAACAAAUUAAGAGUGAGAAUGCUAAAUCAUUACUUCCCCUUACGCUGCUUUGAAAUCUCCUAUGAGUCCCCAAAGGGAGAAAUGGUUUGUGUGCUUUACUGCUGUGUGUCUGUUCUCGAGUCUGUAUUUCUUGAUGGUAAUUUGUGUCUGCGUGUGUGAGAAUGCUUAAAAUAUGGUCUCUGCAACUUUCAAGUACGCAUAUAACACGGAUAUUGUGUUAUUAACGGUAGUCCCCAUGCUGAACGUUAGGUCCUCUGACCUUAUUCUUAUGUCUGAACAUGUGUAUCAUUUGACCUCCAUUACUUCAUUUUCUCCUCCUCCCAGCCACUGGUAACCACCAUUCUGUUAUUCUAUUCUCUGUUUCUAUGAAAUCAGCUUUUUUAAAAGUUCCACACGUAGAUAAUAAUAUGAGAUAAUAUUUAUCUUUGUCUGGCUUAUUUCACUUAGCAUCAUGCCAUCCAGGUUCAUCACAAAUGGCAGGAUUUCCUCCCUUUUUCUGGCUGCAUAAUAUUCCAUCAUGUUCCAUUUUCUUUAUGUCUUCAUCCAUUCAUGGACAUUUAAGUUGUUCCUGAACCUUGGCUACUAGGCAUAAUGCUGCAGUGAACAUGGGAGUGUAGCUAUCUCUUCAAGAUACUGAUUUAGGUUCUUUUGGAUAUAUGCUAGAAGUGAAAUUGCUGGUAGUUCUAUUUUAAAUUUUUUGGGGGAUGACCAUUCUGUUUUCCACAGUGGCCGCACUGAUUUACAUUCUCACCAACAGUUUAUAAGGAUUCCCUUUUCUCCACAUCCUCGCCAACAUAUUUUAUCUCUUUUCCCUUUGAUAAUAGCUUGAUGAUAAUUGUUCUCGAGUCUUGUACAGAGCUUUGUGGAACUGCAUCUCUUUCUUUCAGAUAAAUGAGUGUUUGAUCUCAGGAAAUCUUCCGUUGCCACUGGUAAAUCUGAGCUGUCUCCAUUUUAAAUUGAGUUAAAAGCAAAAGUACCGCCUACCCUCCGAAGCUUUUCUUUAAUUCCUAGUAUCAGUGUGUUUAAUUGGAAAGAGAUUUUAAAGACCAAUAGUGUAAGGCUUAAGAGAUUCUGGCACCUUUGGGGAUUGUUUUAAAAUUAUUGCAUGAAUUCUUUUUUAUUUUUUUUCCCACUGGGGGUUAGGCCUGACAGGCCACGAAUGGAUCUGUCAUUCUCCCAUAUACUCUCAGUAUUUAUUAUUAUCAUCUGCCUCAGGGGCUUGUAGAUUAAUCAAAAAUAUCCUUAAGUUAUCUUACAAGUAAAAGGAAAUUAACCAGCUUUCCCACCUCAUUUUAUGCUAAUAUAUUAAAUUAUGAGCUCUGAAGAAAUUAACAAGGACCUGAGAUCAAUGACUGUCUCUUCCUCUGAGUAAAUUAAAAUAGAAUAAGUACAAAUAUUCUGUAAUCAUCAGGUAUUAAACUCCUUUCCUCUUUUUUCCCCCUUUUAACAUAACUCAGGCUGUAAAACCUAAAUAAAAUCUUACAUCUAGUUCAAACCCCUUCCUUUGGAAAAGAAAAGCAUGAGGUCUGGUGGAAUUAAAAUCACUUUCUCUCAACGACAGAACUAGUGUGUGUGUGUGUGUGUGUGUGUGUGUGUGUGUGUGUGUGUGUCUGCAUGUGUGUAAACCAUAUGUACAUACUUAUAGAAACACAUUGUGUAUAUAUGUAUGUACACACGGUGUACAUAACAUAUACACAAUGAGUGUAUGUAAACCGAGAGUAUCAUUCCUUCCUAAAUAAUCCUACAUUUAUUUGGGGUGACACAUGAUAAAAUGUAUAGUGAAAUCUGGAAGGUGAUUUCAUGACUUCCUAAAGACUAACAGGAGAAUUGUUAUAAAAUUUCUAUGAGAAAAAAAUAAUACUUUCACAUCUCUAAUGAAACACACCCUUUUAAAAAGUGAAGAGUGUUUAACAUGAAAUAGCAUCAACUCUGUGAUGCCAUUAUCCUCUCAGAACCCAUCAAGUCGUACACAAAAUCCUAAUGAAUUUAUCGACAGCUCAUCCAUCCAGAGUUCCGACUUGAGUUGAGGCAGGUGUCAAGAUGCACUUGCCAAACAGGGUGAUAACACCGCCCCCACAGUUUCAUCGCAAAGCACCAUCUGCUCCAAGCACAUGGACUGUCAAAUCCUGGCUUGUGCCCCCUGGCAUUUGGUGACGGUGGCACUGACAUGCAGUGACUUUGGAGGAUGCGUUCACAUUCUCAGUUCUUCAAACCCUGCCUAGGUCACAGCAGCAAUCUGUCAACGGAGGCGGUUGGAAGAGGCAGGAGGCAAUGUAUUCUGUUUGUCUGGUCCCCACUCUGAACAUGACUAGUUUUUAUGCCAGUCACCAUGUCUAAAAUGUCUUCAAAGAGCACCUGUGAUCAUGCUCUCUCUCAAACCCGGUCACUGAGAUAUUCUAAGUCAACGGUUUCCACGUGACACCAAGAGACACAAAGCCUUAACCGUGUUAGAGAGUUCGUGAAGCUCUGGUCAGGAAGGGAAUGGCAUUGGGGCCACCUGACCUUCACGUGAAGACACGCUAUCACAUUUCUGUAACAAAGGGUGCUGGGGGGGUUGGCGGUGAAAUGCUGUCUCAACUCAGUUUUGAGGCCCUGGCAGGAGGCCUGCCAGUUUCUCUUCGCAAGAAUUGCUCAAGUCCACACCACACACACUUCCUUUGUGGGACUCUCAUAUUUCAGGUGCUAUGCAGUCACCCUAACUGCCCAGGGGACAGGUCCCCACUAGGAUCAACUCUGUGCCCCAGGGCCCCCAAAUUUAUGCACGUUGGCCAGUUCACUGAGAGCCUGGUAAAGCCUGGCCAAGCCCGCCCCACUUGCCACACCGAGCUGCAGCUGUGGCUCCAGCCUCCCGGCACCGUGUCCCCAAGUGUGGAUCCUGUGGCAGCCUUCUCUCGUUUAGAGCUGAAAGUAACAAGAGAUCUGCCUUUCAAGGACCUGGGUAUCUUUAGGUUCUGUCCUACCAUCCCGCCAAUUACCAUCCUCCAUAAUAAAUUCUAAUUAUAAAACAAUCACGUUGAUUUGAGUGAUCGAAGUCCCAUUUCUCCAAAUGCCCUUGUUUGGAAGAGGUCUUUUUCUUUUAUCUCCUAGUUCUUUCAUUAAGUUUUAUUGAAGUGUAGUUAAUUUACACAGUUUUGAUGAUUUCUGUUGUACAACAAAGGGACAGAGUCAUACAUAUACACAUACCAUUCUCUCUCAGCUUCUUUUCCCACAGAGAUUAUCACAGAAUAGUGGGUGGUGUUCUCUGGGCUACACAGCAAGUCCUCAUUGGCCAAUGGAUCCAUGUACCUCAGUGUGCAUAUGCAGAAGUCUGUUUAAAGUCCAGAAACUUACACAUCAGUGAUCCUCAAGGAAUUCCCACAUAAUAGGAUCGGUGGCAUCUCUGGAGCUCCAGGAAUCAGGUCUGAUCCCUGGCCCCACACUGUAGGUCAAGGGAUCCAGUGUUGCCACAGCUGCUUGGAUCUGAUCCCAAGCCCAGUAACUUCAUAUGCUGCAGGGCGGCCAAAAAUGGAAAAAAAAAAA
rnacentral:lncRNA from 1 species